CGGGGAUUAGUUUAACGGUAGAAUUCGCGGCUGGGGGUCGUGAGACGAGUGUUCAAUUCACUCAUCCCCGA
rfam:Microgenomates bacterium GW2011_GWA2_46_16 TX37_C0017, whole genome shotgun sequence.